rnacentral:rRNA from 1 species
GACGAACGCUGGCGGCGUGCCUAAUACAUGCAAGUAGAACGCUGAAGGAGGAGCUUGCUUCUCUGGAUGAGUUGCGAACGGGUGAGUAACGCGUAGGUAACCUGCCUGGUAGCGGGGGAUAACUAUUGGAAACGAUAGCUAAUACCGCAUAAGAGUAGAUGUUGCAUGACAUUUGCUUAAAAGGUGCAAUUGCAUCACUACCAGAUGGACCUGCGUUGUAUUAGCUAGUUGGUGGGGUAACGGCUCACCAAGGCGACGAUACAUAUCCGACCUGAGAGGGUGAUCGGCCACACUGGGACUGAGACACGGACCAGACUCCUACGGGAGGCAGCAGUAGGGAAUCUUCGGCAAUGGACGGAAGUCUGACCGAGCAACGCCGCGUGAGUGAAGAAGGUGUUCGGAUAGUAAAGCUCUGUUGUAAGAGAAGAACGAGUGUGAGAGUGGAAAGUUCACACUGUGACGGUAUCUUACCAGAAAGGGACGGCUAACUACGUG